AUCUAUAUAGUAUAAAAAUUAUUUUUGACUUCCAAUCAAAAGAUCUAGAAAUCUAGUAUAGAUA
rnacentral:tRNA from 1 species